AGAGACCUCGCGUUAUUGGAGCGGCCGAUAUCUGAUUAGCUAGUUGGUGGGGUAAAGGCUCACCAAGGCGACGAUCAGUAGCUGGUCUGAGAGGAUGAUCAGCCACACUGGAACUGAGACACGGUCCAGACUCCUACGGGAGGCAGCAGUGGGGAAUUUUGGACAAUGGGCGCAAGCCUGAUCCAGCCAUUCCGCGUGAGUGAAGAAGGCCUUCGGGUUGUAAAGCUCUUUCGCAAGGGAAGAAACGAUACGAGCGAAUAACUCGUGUUAAUGACGGUACCUUGAUAAGAAGCACCGGCUAACUACGUGCCAGCAGCCGCGGUAAUACGUAGGGUGCGAGCGUUAAUCGGAAUUACUGGGCGUAAAGCGUGCGCAGGCGGUUUUGUAAGUCAGAUGUGAAAUCCCCGGGCUCAACCUGGGAACU
rnacentral:rRNA from 1 species